AUUUACUUUAAUUGUAUUAACAACUUCUUUUGUGGGUUUUAUUAUAACAACUCCCAUUUUGAAGAUAAAGGCCUUGAGCUGAGGGAAUGGCAGAGUCAGAACAGAAACCCUCUGGUCACAAAAUGACUAGAAAUAAAAAUAAAUCACUAUGGUUCCCUGAAUAUCAUAAAAGAAAGGUGGUAUAAGAAACCAUAUCAAGUCUUGGAAUAAUCCAGAAAGAAUAUAUUAUUUGUAGGUGUUAAUAUAAGCACUAAUUAUUUGUAACUGUCUUGUAGGUAAUAAUAAAUGGUGAUGACAGGUUGGGAAAAAAAUUGUAAGGAAAAAGGGCAUAAAGAAACUCUUUCAUCCAGAGGGAG
rnacentral:lncRNA from 1 species